rnacentral:rRNA from 1 species
UACGAAGGGGGCUAGCGUUGCUCGGAAUCACUGGGCGUAAAGCGCACGUAGGCGGCUUCUUAAGUCAGGGGUGAAAUCCUGGAGCUCAACUCCAGAACUGCCUUUGAUACUGAGGAGCUUGAGUCCGGGAGAGGUGAGUGGAACUGCGAGUGUAGAGGUGAAAUUCGUGGAUAUUCGCAAGAACACCAGUGGCGAAGGCGGCUCACUGGCUCGGUACUGACGCUGAGGUGCGAAAGCGUGGGGAGCAAACAGG